GAUGAACGCUGGCGGCGUGCCUAAUACAUGCAAGUCGAGCGAACGGACGAGAAUCUUGCUUCUCUGAUGUUAGCGGCGGACGGGUGAGUAACACGUGGAUAACCUACCUAUAAGACUGGGAUAACUUCGGGAAACCGUAGCUAAUACCGGAUAAUUUUUUGAACCGCAUGGUUCAAAAGUGAAAGACGGUCUUGCUGUCACUUAUAGAUGGAUCCGCGCUGCAUUAGCUAGUUGGUAAGGUAACGGCUUACCAAGGCAACGAUGCAUAGCCGACCUGAGAGGGUGAUCGGCCACACUGGAACUGAGACACGGUCCAGACUCCUACGGGAGGCAGCAGUAGGGAAUCUUCCGCAAUGGGCGAAAGCCUGACGGAGCAACGCCGCGUGAGUGAUGAAGGUCUUCGGAUCGUAAAACUCUGUUAUUAGGGAAGAACAUAUGUGUAAGUAACUGUGCACAUCUUGACGGUACCUAAUCAGAAAGCCACGGCUAACUACGUG
rnacentral:rRNA from 1 species